AACGAACGCUGGCGGCAGGCUUAACAUAUGCAAGUCGAACGGGCGUAGCAAUACGUCAGUGGCAGAUGGGUGAGUAACACGUGGGAACCUUCCUCGUUGUACGGAACAACUCAGGGAAACUUGAGCUAAUACCGUAUACGUCCGAGAGGAGAAAGAUUUAUCGCAAUGAGACGGGCCCGCGUCGGAUUAGGUAGUUGGUGGGGUAACGGCCUACCAAGCCGACGAUCCGUAGCUGAUCUGAGAGGAUGAUCAGCCACACUGGGACUGAGACACGGCCCAGACUCCUACGGGAGGCAGCAGUGGGGAAUCUUGGACAAUGGGCGCAAGCCUGAUCCAGCCAUGCCGCGUGAGUGAAGAAGGCCUUAGGGUUGUAAAGCUCUUUUACCAGGGACGAUAAUGACGGUACCUGGAGAAUAAGCCCCGGCAAACUUCGUGCCAGCCGCCGCCGUAACAC
rnacentral:rRNA from 1 species